rnacentral:rRNA from 1 species
AUUGAACGCUGGCGGCAGGCCUAACACAUGCAAGUCGAGCGGAGCGGCGGACGGGCGAGUAAUGCCUACGAAUCUGCCCGGUAGUGGGGGAUAACGUCCGGAAACGGGCGAUAAUACCGCAUACUAUCAGAUGAGCUUAGGGAGGUGUAGCUAGUGGGUGGGGAAAAGGCCUACCAAGGCGAGGAGCCGUAACUGGUCUGAGAGGAUGAGCAGUCACACUGGAACGUAGACACGGUCCAGACUCCUACGGGGGGAAGAAGUGGGGAAUAUUGGAAAAUGGGGGAAAGCCUGAUGCAGCCAUGCCGCGUGUGUGAAGAAGGUCUUCGGAUUGUAAAGCCCUUUAAGUUGGGAGGCGUUACCAGCAGAAUAAGCACCGGCUAACUUCGUGCCAGCAGCCGCGGUAAUAC